rnacentral:rRNA from 1 species
GACAGAGGAUGCAAGCGUUAUCCGGAAUGAUUGGGCGUAAAGCGUCUGUAGGUGGCUUUUUAAGUCCGCCGUCAAAUCCCAGGGCUCAACCCUGGACAGGCGGUGGAAACUACCAAGCUGGAGUACGGUAGGGGCAAGGAAGUCCGAUUCGGUGAGCGGUGAAAUGCGUAGAUAUCGGAAAGAACACCAACGGCGAAAGCACUCUGCUGGGCCGACACUGACACUGAGAGACGAAAGCUAGGGGAGCGAAUGGG